UUAUUAUCAUGUUUUAGAUUUAUUUUGAAGAACUCUGUGUUUAGAUUGGAUUGGAAAACAUACCUAGUUCAAGCUUUCUUCGUUGAUUUAUUAUGCAGAAUAAUCAGAUUCCUAUGUUUCCCAAUUUAGUUUUUUUUUUCAGGGAUAGCAAUCUCAAUACUCAUUACUCAACCUCUGAAAUCUGUCUUCAACUUAUUCUGAUUACUGAUCUAAG
rnacentral:lncRNA from 1 species